rnacentral:pre_miRNA from 1 species
UCUGGCAAAUUGAGGUAGUAGGUUGUAUAGUAGCAACUAAGAAUCGUACUAUACAAUGUGCUAGCUUUCUUUGCUUGA